rnacentral:rRNA from 1 species
AUGUCGUACAUACCAGCUGACGUCACAUACCUACAGGCCAAGUACCGCAGAGAGAGCAAGUUGGCAGACAUAGAGGCCACAAUAGCCUACUUCGAUGUGAAAGCAAAGGAAGAUCCAGAUUUCUUCUACAGGAUAAGGUUGGACGAUGAGGACCGUGUCAGGAACAUGUAUUGGGUGGAUGGUGCUGCAAGGAGAGCCUACAAACAUGUACAAGAUGCCAUUUCAUUCGACGCGACGUACCUCACCAAUAUGUACAAGAUGCCAUGCGCUCCGUUCAUAGGAAUAAAUAACCACAAUCAGUCGUUGCAGUUCGGAUGCGGCCUCGUCCGGAACAAAGACACAGAUGGGUACGUUUGGCUGUUCAAGACCUUCUUGGAGUGCAUGGAUGGACUUGCUCCGAUGAACAUAAUAACGGACCAAGAUUUCAGCAUGCGUGCAAGCAUAGAGGAGGUCUUUCUGUUGGCAGUGCACAGGCACUGCAGGUGGCACAUUAUAAAGAAGGCUGAGGAGACGCUAGGACCGUUCUUUGCCGACCGUCCAGAGCUGCACAAGGCAUUCGAGCUGUGCGUGGACCACAGCUUGACGGUGGAGGAGUUUGAAAGGAGCUGGAUGGCCAUGACUGAAACACAUAGUGUCCAGGACAACGAGACUCUUGUUAGCCUGUGGGAGAAGCGAAUGUACUGGGUGCCGGCCUACUUCAUGCAGUGCUUCUUCCCCUUUCUGCAGACUACGCAGCGCAGCGAGGGGUUUAAUGCUGUUUUAAAGCGGUACGUCAGCCCUGGCAACUCAUUGCUACAGUUUGCCAAGCAGUACACAGCUUUGCAACAAAAAAUUCUGGGAUCUGAGCUACAGCAAGAAGCGACCACAGCCCUAAAGCAGCCAAAAUUGCUAACGUAUUUACCGAUGGAGAGGCAAAUGAGCAAGAUAUACACCAACAAGAUCUUUAACAAGUAA